GUUAAAAUGCCAUGCCACCUUAUCCUUUCUAAACUUGCUGAUAAGUGUCCUUCAGCGGUAUUAGCAGUUCUGGACUCUUUGGUGGAUCCUCUGCAGAAAACAAUAAAUUUCAGACCAAAACAGGAUGCUGUCAAGCAAGAGGUUGAUCGCAAUGAAGACAUGAUUCGAAGUGCCCUUCGGGCAAUUGCAGCCUUAAAUCGUAUCAGUGGAGGUGACUACAGCCACAAGCUCAAGAAUCUAAUGGUGGAAAUUGAGAAGACAUCACUCUGGGACAAGUAUUGUUGUAUCAGGAAUGAGUGAUACAGAGGUUCUUUUGAUUCCUUGGACAACAUUAUAAUUUUACUGCAAGUAAUGUGAAUGCGGCAAAUGGGCUGGUGGAGAAGGAAGCAUAUGCAUAAAGGGAUGCCUACUUGAAUCAAUGUUACCAUAACGCACUUCACCCUGUAUAGGUUUAGUCUUAGCAUUUUGUUUUGUCAUAUAUGUGACAUGUUUUCUAAUUUGGGCGUCUAAUUGGUUUUGGGUUCAUGGAAUGUUCAAUUGAGUUUUCUUUUUGUACGGAAGUCUGAGCCUCUUCUAGAGUAAUUUAUGAGAUAUUUUCCCCGUUUUUAGCGGUUUUUGAAACACCUAUUAGUUGUGCUAAAUACUUGUAAUAGCUAUGUUUACGGUUUCUCUUAAUUGAUAUUGUUGGAUGUGACUCGAAGAGCAACCUAAGGUGUACAAGUGUUUGAUUUUUUU
rnacentral:misc_RNA from 1 species